ensembl:lncRNA
UCAGAAUCUUCCUCUGGAUGUUCUCUUGUUCACGCAGUUUGGUCACACAGUUUACACGAUUACUGAAGGGGAAGCUCGAGAAGAGGUCUGGUCACCUAUUAAUUACUGAUUCUCGUUUCUUGUUCUCUGAUCUCUGUAGAGAACCAACCAGUCAGGCAACAUAUUGUGUGUCCAGACUUGAAAGGUGUGCUUGGGCAGAGAUGAGUAGAGCCUGGGGCUCCUGGUUAAAAGUCAGAGACAGUGUCGCUCUGCUAAGUGACAAGGAGAGGACUUCAUGCCAAGGAGGGCUUCCUGCAGAGAGCUGCGCACACAGUCCCAACGCACUGCUGGCCGGGCCACAGCUGUUCAUACCUGUUUUGCAGUGAACGGUAGUUACUUCCUUGAAAGUGGAAACAGCUUUUAGAGCUCCUUUGUUUCUCACGUUCUAGAGCAAGGGCAAGAUUGGAGAGAGUGACUUUGUGGGAGGCUGAAAUAAGUGAAAUGAAGAAAAGCCUUGGGAAGCAUUACGGAGUUCCUCCGGACUGCAUUUACACUGAGCACUCGGUUGUGGACAGUCAGACUUUAAUGAAGAUCUUACGCAGACUGUGGGAGACGAGAAGAGGCUAGAAACUGUGUGGUCUGUUACAGCGGGGCAGCAGGUACCAUCAUGGGUUGAUGGAGAUUAGGCAGGGACAAAAGGUGGAGACGCUCUUCAGGCUGAAGCACAUCAAGGUCCCUCCACUUACCAGGAUGCUCUGCCAACACUCAGCAUUUUUAUUUUGUUUUCUUAAUACAUUUUUACAUAGUUCAUAUACAAAGCAUGUGCAAUUUGGGAUCCUGUCUGCUUUACCUUUGAGCUUCUCAGGUGGCUCAGCAGUAAAGAAUCUGCCCGCCAAUGCAACAGGCUUGGGUUCGAUCCUUGGGUCGGGAAGAUCCCCUGGAGAAGGAAAUGGCAACACACUCCAGUAUUCUUGUGUGGGAAAUCCCAUGGAUAGAGGAGCCUGGCGGGCUGCAAAGAGUUGGAUACAACUGAGCAACUGAGCACGCAAAUGUAAUCAAGUGAAUUAUUAAUGAACAUUACAUAAUCAACAUCUUUUAAGUGCAUCGUAACACACACACACACAUAUACUCUACUUAGACAUUUUCUUGACAUUUUCUGGUUUAUACAUUUAUAUCAGCAUUUCUCAUUAUUGAAAUGACUGUUUCAGAGGGCAAAAGUAUUAUUAAG